rnacentral:lncRNA from 1 species
AUUUCUGUGCGAGCCCAAUAUAUUGCUGAGAACGAUGUGAGGAAGCGUCAUGUUGCAUCCAUACAUUGCAUACAUAUUAAUGUACAUAAAAGAUAACCCAUAUGUACAUUUUAUCUUUUGGAGCCAUUUUAUCAUGGUUUUCUUGGUGUUUUGAUGUCCAAAUCUGAAUUAGAACAUGGUGAUUCUCCUCAAGUACUUCCAAAAUCUGAAUCCAAAAUCUGACCAUGCCAUCUUUAUCACUCUUAACACUCUAUGCAUGUAUUCUCCUCAAGUAUUUCCAACCCCGAUCCUUUUAGUACUCAAUCUUUCUCUCCUCGCUAAC